AAAUUGAAGAGUUUGAUCAUGGCUCAGAUUGAACGCUGGCGGCAGGCCUAACACAUGCAAGUCGAACGGUAACAGGAAGCAGCUUGCUGCUUUGCUGACGAGUGGCGGACGGGUGAGUAAUGUCUGGGAAACUGCCUGAUGGAGGGGGAUAACUACUGGAAACGGUGGCUAAUACCGCAUAACGUCGCAAGACCAAAGAGGGGGACCUUCGGGCCUCUUGCCAUCAGAUGUGCCCAGAUGGGAUUAGCUUGUUGGUGAGGUAACGGCUCACCAAGGCGACGAUCCCUAGCUGGUCUGAGAGGAUGACCAGCCACACUGGAACUGAGACACGGUCCAGACUCCUACGGGAGGCAGCAGUGGGGAAUAUUGCACAAUGGGCGCAAGCCUGAUGCAGCCAUGCCGCGUGUAUGAAGAAGGCCUUCGGGUUGUAAAGUACUUUCAGCGGGGAGGAAGGUGUUGUGGUUAAUAACCGCAGCAAUUGACGUUACCCGCAGAAGAAGCACCGGCUAACUCCGUGCCAGCAGCCGCGGUAAUACGGAGGGUGCAAGCGUUAAUCGGAAUUACUGGGCGUAAAGCGCACGCAGGCGGUCUGUCAAGUCGGAUGUGAAAUCCCCGGGCUCAACCUGGGAACUGCAUUCGAAACUGGCAGGCUUGAGUCUUGUAGAGGGGGGUAGAAUUCCAGGUGUAGCGGUGAAAUGCGUAGAGAUCUGGAGGAAUACCGGUGGCGAAGGCGGCCCCCUGGACAAAGACUGACGCUCAGGUGCGAAAGCGUGGGGAGCAAACAGGAUUAGAUACCCUGGUAGUCCACGCCGUAAACGAUGUCUACUUGGAGGCUGUGCCCUUGAGGCGUGGCUUCCGGAGCUAACGCGUUAAGUAGACCGCCUGGGGAGUACGGCCGCAAGGUUAAAACUCAAAUGAAUUGACGGGGGCCCGCACAAGCGGUGGAGCAUGUGGUUUAAUUCGAUGCAACGCGAAGAACCUUACCUGGUCUUGACAUCCACAGAAGUUUGCAGAGAUGCGAAUGUGCCUUCGGGAACUGUGAGACAGGUGCUGCAUGGCUGUCGUCAGCUCGUGUUGUGAAAUGUUGGGUUAAGUCCCGCAACGAGCGCAAC
rnacentral:rRNA from 2 species